rnacentral:rRNA from 1 species
AACGAACGCUGGCGGCAGGCCUAACACAUGCAAGUCGAGCGGACCCUUCGGGGUUAGCGGCGGACGGGUGAGUAACGCGUGGGAAUAUGCCCUUCUCUACGGAAUAGUCCUGGGAAACUGGGGGUAAUACCGUAUACGCCCUUUGGGGGAAAGAUUUAUCGGGGAAGGAUUAGCCCGCGUUGGAUUAGGUAGUUGGUGGGGUAAUGGCCUACCAAGCCGACGAUCCAUAGCUGGUUUGAGAGGAUGAUCAGCCACACUGGGACUGAGACACGGCCCAGACUCCUACGGGAGGCAGCAGUGGGGAAUCUUAGACAAUGGGGGCAACCCUGAUCUAGCCAUGCCGCGUGAUUGAUGAAGGCCUUAGGGUUGUAAAGCUCUUUCAGCUGGGAAGAUAAUGACGGUACCAGCAGAAGAAGCCCCGGCUAACUCCGUG